AAGUUUACCAGCGGCUGAGAUACCAUAGUAAAGAAGGUAGUUUUCCCAGAGCAAGCUUAUCCAUCACACCCGUGAUGUGGUGACCUCUGCAGUUUCUGCAAAUUUGAAAAACUGGGUUGCAUGAUUUAUGGUCGUGGGUAAUUAUGUUCACAUAAACUUUCC